CCUACGGGAGGCUGCAGUGGGGAAUAUUGCACAAUGGGGGAAACCCUGAUGCAGCCACGCCGCGUGAGUGCAGAAGUAUUUCGGUAUGUAAAGCUCUAUCAGCAGGGAAGCAGAUGACGGUACCUGAUUAAGAAGCCCCGGCUAACUACGUGCCAGCAGCCGCGGUAAUACGUAGGGGGCAAGCGUUAGCCGGAUUUACUGGGUGUAAAGGGAGCGCAGACGACAUUGCAAGUCUGGAGUGAAAGCCCGGGGCCCAACCCCGGAACUGCUCUGGAAACUGUGCGGCUAGAGUACUGGAGGGGCAGGCGGAAUGCCUAGUGGAGCGGUGAAAUGCGUAGAUAUUAGGAGGAACACCGGUGGCGAAGGCGGCUUACUGGACUGUAACUGACGUUGAGGCUCGAAAGCGUGGGGAGCAAACAGGAUUAGAUACCCGUGUAGUC
rnacentral:rRNA from 1 species